rnacentral:rRNA from 1 species
AGUGGCGGACGGGUGAGUAACACGUGAGCAACCUGCCUUUGAGAGGGGAAUAACGGCUGGAAACGGUCGCUAAUACCGCAUAAUGUACGGAUGGGACAUCCUGUCUGUACCAAAGAUUUAUCGCUCGAAGAUGGGCUCGCGUCCGAUUAGGUAGUUGGUGAGGUAACGGCCCACCAAGCCGACGAUCGGUAGCCGGACUGAGAGGUUGAACGGCCACAUUGGGACUGAGACACGGCCCAGACUCCUACGGGAGGCAGCAGUGGGGGAUAUUGCACAAUGGGGGAAACCCUGAUGCAGCGACGCCGCGUGUGGGAAGACGGUCUUCUGGAUUGUAAACCACUGUCCCCAGGGACGAAAAUGACGGUACCUGGGGAGGAAGCUCCGGCUAACUACGUGCCAGCAGCCGCGGUAAUACGUAGGGAGCAAGCGUUGUCCGGAAUUACUGGGUGUAAAGGGAGCGUAGGCGGGGAUGCAAGUUGGGUGUCAAAACUACCGGCUCAACCGAUAGUCGCACUCAAAACUGCAGCUCUUGAGUGAAGUAGAGGCAGGCGGAAUUCCUAGUGUAGCGGUGAAAUGCGUAGAUAUUAGGAGGAACACCAGUGGCGAAGGCGGCCUGCUGGGCUUUUACUGACGCUGAGGCUCGAAAGUGUGGGGAGCAAACAGGAUUAGAUACCCUGGUAGUCCACACCGUAAACGAUGAUUACUA